GAAAGUAAGCAAGGGCAGACGGUGGAUGCCUUGGCUCUCGGAGGCGACGAAGGACGUGAUAAGCUGCGAAAAGCUCGGGGGAGGCGCAAAUAGCCGUUGAUCCCGGGAUAUCCGAAUGGGGCAACCCGGCAGGCUGAAGGCCUGCCAUCCCGUAAGGGAGGCGAACGUGGGGAACUGAAACAUCUAAGUACCCAUAGGAGGAGAAAAUAAACAAUGAUUCCGUAAGUAGUGGCGAGCGAACACGGAAGAGCCCAAACCCAUGUCGUCUAGGCGACACGGGGGUUGUAGGACCACGACGUGGCAAGAGGAUGGCAAGUGGAACGCCUUGGAAAGGGCGACCGUAGAGGGUGAUAGUCCCGUACACGACUGCCUGCCGAAGCCUAGUGGCAUCCUGAGUAGCGCGGGGCACGAGAAAUCUUGCGUGAAACUGCGGGGCCCAUCCCGUAAGGCUAAAUACUCCCGAGAGACCGAUAGCGAACCAGUACCGUGAGGGAAAGGUGAAAAGAACCCCGAGCAGGGGAGUGAAAUAGACCCUGAACCCGUCUGCCUACAAGCGGUCGGAGCAUCGUCAAGAUGUGACGGCGUGCCUUUUGCAUAAUGAACCUACGAGUUACCUUCCCCGGCAAGGUUAAGUACCUAAGGUACGGAGCCGAAGCGAAAGCGAGUCUGAAGAGGGCGGCCAGUCGGGGGGGGUAGACGCGAAACCGAGUGAUCUACCCUUGGCCAGGUUGAAGGUUGGGUAACACCAACUGGAGGACCGGAUGGGUAAGCGUUGAAAAGCUUUCCAAUGAGCUGAGGGUAGGGGUGAAAGGCUAAUCAAACUCGGAGAUAGCUCGUACUCCCCGAAAUGCAUUUAGGUGCAGCCUCUUUAUAGUAUAUCGUGAGGUAGAGCGACUGAUUGGAUGCGAGGGCUUCACCGCCUAUCAAGUCCAGAUAAACUCCGAAUGCGCGAUAUAUAUUUAAAGGGAGUGAGGGCGCGGGUGCUAAGGUCCGUGUCCGAGAGGAGAAGAAUCCAGACCACCGGCUAAGGCCCCCAAAUGAUCGUUGAGUUGAACUAACGAGGUCGGAUCGCAGAGACAGCUAGGAUGUUGGCUUGGAAGCAGCCAUUCAUUUAAAGAGUGCGUAACAGCUCACUAGUCGAGCGAUCUGGCGUGGAUAAUAAUCGGGCAUAAACGAUCUGCCGAAGCCGUGGAUGUCGCAAGACAUGGUAGGGGAGCAUUCCAUGCGGCGUCGAAGAUGAGGGAUGACCCUUGUUGGAGCGCAUGGAAAAGCAAAUGUAGGUAUGAGUAACGAUAAGGGGGGCGAGAAACCCCCCCGCCGAAAGACCAAGGUUUCCUGAUCAACGCUAAUCGGAUCAGGGUGAGUCGGGACCUAAGGCUAAGCCGAACGGCGCCGCCGAUGGAAGAAUGGGUUAAUAUUCCCAUACUGCCUCAUGGAGUGACGUGGAGACGGAGAAGUGACAGUCCUGCCGGCUGACGGAAUAGCCGGUUGAAGGGUGUAGAUAUUGAUUCCCGUAGGCAAAUCCGCGGGGAGAGUCGAACCUGACAGUAUACGGAGCGCUUGCGCAACGUAAUAUGGACGUAACCAUGCUCCCAAGAAAAUCCGCUAAACUUAUCCAUGCGGCACCCGUACCGUAAACGGACACACGUGGUCGGGUUGAGAAUACUGAGGCGCUCGAGUGACUCACGGUUAAGGAACUAGGCAAAUUGACCCUGUAACUUCGGGAUAAAGGGUCCUCGUCGUAAGGCGAGGCGCAGAGAAUAGGUCCAGGCAACUGUUUAACAAAAACACAUGGCUGUGCUAAAUGGAAACAUGAUGUAUACAGCCUGACACCUGCCCGGUGCUGGAAGGUUAAGAGGAGAUGUCAUCGCGAGAGAAGCGUUGAAUUGAAGCCCCAGUAAACGGCGGCCGUAACUAUAACGGUCCUAAGGUAGCGAAAUUCCUUGUCG
rnacentral:rRNA from 1 species